UCCUGUCAGCAUAACAGGACCUC
rnacentral:piRNA from 1 species